rnacentral:tRNA from 1 species
GGGAAGGUGGCUCAGUGGUAGAGCACUUGCCUUGCAUGCCUGAGGCCCUGAGUUUGAUCCUCAGCACCCCA